CCCUUAGAUGUUCUGGGCUGCACGCGCGCUACACUGAUGCGUUCAACGAGUGUAUAACCUUACCCGAUAGGGUUGGGUAAUCUUUUGAACACGCAUCGUGAUGGGGAUAGAUUAUUGCAAUUAUUAAUCUUCAACGAGGAAUUCCUAGUAAUGAUGAAUCAUCAGUUCAUCGUGAUUACGUCCCUGCCCUUUGUACACACCGCCCGUCGCUCCUACCGAUUGAAUGACUCGGUGAAAUCCCCGGACUGCAGCCUUGACACCCUCGGGUGACUCGGCAGUGGAAAGCGGAUUAAACCUCGCCAUUUAGAGGAAGGUGAAGUCGUAACA
rnacentral:rRNA from 1 species